AAUCUACUCCCUCCAUUUGUCCCCUUUUCCAUCAGAAAAGGGGUAAAAAUUGAAUAGGGAUUUGGGGGAUUUUUGUUUUGGAGGUUUUCUUGGGGAGAAAGGGAGAAGGGUCGAGAAGCCUGAAGGAUAUAUAAAGGAGAAGUUAUUUUCAGAAGGGGGGUCGGGAAAAGUGGUGAGGGAUUUUUAGAUUUUAGUUUUUUUUUUGGGUUUUCGAUUCCAAAGAAAGAUGGUGAAGGUCUGAGUUUUCUUGUUCAGUUCGAGAUUUUACUUCCAAAAUCAGAAAACUUCAAGAAUAUGGAGCUCCAUUUCUGGUUUUGGAUUUCUGUUUGAAAGAGGUUUAUUUUUGGAUAAUUUUUUUCCCUUCUAUUUCCCUAUUAGUUCAAAGAGGUGAUACAAAUAUGAAGAAAAUUAGUUAAUAUGAUCUUGAGGUUUAUUUCAAAAUCAGAUUAUAAAAGAAGUUUUCUUCCACUCGACUUUCAAAUGGAUUGAACUGGUUUGUGCUGAGUUGUUCGAGUUCAUCGCCGUCGAGGUCCAGAAUCGCUCUUUCAGUUCAUGUUGUUGGAAUUUGUUUGGUUCAUCUCUUUCUCUUUAAAUUCCCUUCAUUCUAAAAUAAUGGUGAAUUGGAAUAUGAUAGGAGCCUGUGGAGCGGAGAAUCUUAGUUUCAUUUGAAAGUUGAUAGAAGCUGGUUUGAGGGAAGAUUUGAGGGUGUAUUAUCGAGUUAUAUGAUGGUUACACGCUAUUUUUGCAGUUCUCUAAUUGCUUUAUGGAUUUGUGAUUAGCUUAAAGACUUUGCUGUUUGUUAGAGUUUCAUGUUAGUUUGAUUUAUUUGAUUUGUGAUAACUAGAUAAAAACCUGUGUGCUUUUAGGUUCAAAUGAGAUCAAAUACAUAAUAUUUUGUUCUUGAA